rnacentral:RNase_P_RNA from 1 species
GAAGACUGGAAGAUGGCCGCCCGACACCAGUCGGGAGGAAAGUCCGAGCACCGCAGGGCAGGGCGCUGGGUAACACCCAGUCCCGGCGACGGGAAGGAAAGUGCCACAGAAAACAAACCGCCGGACUCCGGUCCGGUAAGGGUGAAAAGGCGAGGUAAGAGCUCACCGCGUCUCCGGUGACGGAGACGGCAUGGUAAACCCCGCCCGGUGCAAGACCAAAUAGGGAGGCUCGCAUUCGUGCGGAAGGCUGGCCCGGCCCACGCCUCCGGGUAAGGUCGCUAGAGUCCAGGGGCAACCCUGGUCCCAGAGUAAUGGCCAUCCUCGACAGAACUCGGCUUACGAAGGUCUUCCCCG